rnacentral:rRNA from 1 species
AGAGUUUGAUCCUGGCUCAGAUUGAACGCUGGCGGCAUGCCUUACACAUGCAAGUCGAACGGCAGCACGGGAGCAAUCCUGGUGGCGAGUGGCGAACGGGUGAGUAAUAUAUCGGAACGUGCCCAGUCGUGGGGGAUAACGCAGCGAAAGCUGUGCUAAUACCGCAUACGAUCUUUGGAUGAAAGCGGGGGAUCGCAAGACCUCGCGCGAUUGGAGCGGCCGAUAUCAGAUUAGCUAGUUGGCGGGGUAAAAGCCCACCAAGGCGACGAUCUGUAGCUGGUCUGAGAGGACGACCAGCCACACUGGAACUGAGACACGGUCCAGACUCCUACGGGAGGCAGCAGUGGGGAAUUUUGGACAAUGGGCGCAAGCCUGAUCCAGCAAUGCCGCGUGCAGGAUGAAGGCCUUCGGGUUGUAAACUGCUUUUGUACGGAACGAAACGGCUUCUUCUAAUACAAGAAGCUAAUGACGGUACCGUAAGAAUAAGCACCGGCUAACUACGUGCCAGCAGCCGCGGUAAUACGUAGGGUGCGAGCGUUAAUCGGAAUUACUGGGCGUAAAGCGUGCGCAGGCGGUGAUGUAAGACAGAUGUGAAAUCCCCGGGCUCAACCUGGGACCUGCAUUUGUGACUGCAUUGCUGGAGUACGGUAGAGGGGGAUGGAAUUCCGCGUGUAGCAGUGAAAUGCGUAGAUAUGCGGAGGAACACCGAUGGCGAAGGCAAUCCCCUGGACCUGUACUGACGCUCAUGCACGAAAGCGUGGGGAGCAAACAGGAUUAGAUACCCUGGUAGUCCACGCCCUAAACGAUGUCAACUGGUUGUUGGGUCUUCACUGACUCAGUAACGAAGCUAACGCGUGAAGUUGACCGCCUGGGGAGUACGGCCGCAAGGUUGAAACUCAAAGGAAUUGACGGGGACCCGCACAAGCUGUGGAUGAUGUGGUUUAAUUCGAUGCAACGCGAAAAACCUUACCCACCUUUGACAUGUACGGAAUUUGCCAGAGAUGGCUUAGUGCUCGAAAGAGAGCCGUAACACAGGUGCUGCAUGACUGUCGUCAGCUCGUGUCGUGAGAUGUUGGGUUAAGUCCCGCAACGAGCGCAACCCUUGUCAUUAGUUGCUACAUUUAGUUGGGCACUCUAAUGAGACUGCCGGUGAUAAACCGGAGGAAGGUGGGGAUGACGUCAAGUCCUCAUGGCCCUUAUAGGUGGGGCUACACACGUCAUACAAUGGCUGGUACAAAGGGUUGCCAACCCGCGAGGGGGAGCUAAUCCCAUAAAGCCAGUCGUAGUCCGGAUCGCAGUCUGCAACUCGACUGCGUGAAGUCGGAAUCGCUAGUAAUCGUGGAUCAGAAUGUCACGGUGAAUACGUUCCCGGGUCUUGUACACACCGCCCGUCACACCAUGGGAGCGGGUUCUGCCAGAAGUAGUUAGCCUAACCGCAAGGAGGGCGAUUACCACGGCAGGGUUCGUGACUGGGGUGAAGUCGUAACAAGGUA